UACGUAGGGGGCUAGCGUUGUCCGGAUUUAUUGGGCGUAAAGAGCGUGUAGGCGGCCAGGUAGGUCAGCUGUGAAAAACUCGAGGCUCAACCUCGAGACGCCGGUUGAAACCAUCUGGCUAGAGUCCGGAAGAGGAGAGUGGAAUUCCUGGUGUAGCGGUGAAAUGCGCAGAUAUCAGGAAGAACACCCGUGGCUAAGGCGGCUCUCUAGUACGGUACUGACGCUGAGACGCGAAAGCGUGGGGAGCGAACAGG
rnacentral:rRNA from 1 species